AGCGCAGACGGUUAUUUAAGUCUGAAGUGAAAGCCCUCAGCUCAACUGAGGAAUGGCUUUGGAAACUGGAUGACUUGAGUGCAGUAGGGGAAAGUGGAACUCCAUGUGUAGCGGUGAAAUGCGUAGAUAUAUGGAAGAACACCAGUGGCGAAGGCGGCUUUCUGGACUGUAACUGACGUUGAGGCUCGAAAGUGUGGUGCAAACA
rnacentral:rRNA from 1 species